GCCGGGAUGCCCGAGUGGUUAAGGGGGUGGCCUGCUAAGCCACUGGCCGAGAGGCCGCGUGGGUUCGAAUCCCACUCCCGGCG
rnacentral:tRNA from 2 species